AUCCCGUGGUGAGGGCACUUGCAAAGUAACUCUUUCAAUAUUUCCCACGCCUCGUAUAGGGAUUCAUCAUUAAUUUUCUAGAAAGUGGUGAUCUUAUUCCACAACUU
rnacentral:snoRNA from 1 species